ACCUUUUAUAGGUAUAAAAAGUUAUGAAAGGGACUUGGUUGAAAUGCAAAGAGGGAACUAAACUAAUCUUAAGACAUUAAUCAGGUAUAAAAAGUUAUGAAAGGGACUUGGUUGAAAUGCAAAGAGGGAGCUGAACUAAACUUAAGACAUUAAUCAGGUAU